rnacentral:rRNA from 1 species
UGAGGAAUAUUGGUCAAUGGGCGUUAGCCUGAACCAGCCAAGUAGCGUGAAGGAUGAAGGCUCUAUGGGUCGUAAACUUCUUUUAUAUAAGAAUAAAGUGCAGUAUGUAUACUGUUUUGUAUGUAUUAUAUGAAUAAGGAUCGGCUAACUCCGUGCCAGCAGCCGCGGUAAUACGGAGGAUCCGAGCGUUAUCCGGAUUUAUUGGGUUUAAAGGGAGCGUAGGUGGACUGGUAAGUCAGUUGUGAAAGUUUGCGGCUCAACCGUAAAAUUGCAGUUGAUACUGUCAGUCUUGAGUACAGUAGAGGUGGGCGGAAUUCGUGGUGUAGCGGUGAAAUGCUUAGAUAUCACGAAGAACUCCGAUUGCGACGGAAGCUCACCGGACGGCAACUGACACCGAUCCUGUAAAUUGUGGGUAUCAAACAGG